UUGAACGCUGGCGGCAGGCCUAACACAUGCAAGUCGAGCGGCAGCGCGGGGCAACCUGGCGGCGAGCGGCGGACGGGUGAGUAACGCGUAGGAAUCUACCCAGUAGCGGGGAUAAGCCGGGGAAAAUCGGAUUAAUACCGCAUUCGCCCUACGGGGGAAAGGAGGGGGUCGGUAGUCCGUGCACUAUUGGAAGAGCCUGCGUUGGAUUAGCUAGUUGGUAGGGUAAAGGCCUACCAAGGCGACGAUCCAUAACUGGUCUGAGAGGAUGAUCAGUCACACCGGAACUGAGACACGGUCCGGACUCCUACGGGAGGCAGCAGUGGGGAAUAUUGGACAAUGGGGCAACCCUGAUCCAGCCAUGCCGCGUGUGUGAAGAAGGCCUUCGGGUUGUAAGGCACUUUAAGUGGGGAGAAAGGUUCGGCAGCUAAUACCUGCCGGAAGUGAUGUUACCCACAGAAUAAGCACCGGCUAACUCUGUGCCAGCCGCCGCAGUAA
rnacentral:rRNA from 1 species